GCCAGCUGUCUUUGUCACCUGCUGGUCGCUGGCUUUGACUUCUGCUGAUGCUGCUCUUGUCUUUACUUUUCUUACUGCUGCUGGGGCCUCCUAGAGAAGAGGGGGACAUCAGAAAUAAACAUCAAAGCAGACAAAGACAGUAGCCGUGGCAGCGUACCCAUGUGUGUAUAGCUCUCGCUGGAGCGUACGUAACUGGCGGUGCGAGGCCGCAUGGCACCCAUGUCGUCCACUGUUGUCUCAGCAACUGGAGCCAGGACUGGCGUACCGCAGUCAGCGCCAUCUUCAGGUGCAAAUCCCGCUCCUGCUCCAGACUUCGACUGAGAGGACUUGGAGUCUGAUUUCUCAGUGCUGCGGCGAAAAGAGAGACUCUGAAAGCUGCUGCAGUGGUGGAAUACAACAACGUAAAAAUACUCCAUUAAAACUUAAAGUCCUGCAGUCCAACAUAACAUUAUCAGCAAAAUAUAGAGGUACUCUGUAUCGUCACCCUGAAGGGAGCAGCUCAGACUCAGUAUGAAGGGGGUCUUUGUUUAGUGUCACCACUGAAAGCAUCAACACUCUAAAUUCUGUGGGCUGUCAGGAUUGUCUCUAUGUCUCCCUCUUCCUUUGUGUCAUGGUAUCUGUUUUUAUUUUCAAGCGUUCUACCUGCCAAUUAAUAUUGUAUACUGUCCAAUAAAGAGGAAUGCUGGAAAAAUACAACAAUUGUAAACUGAAACGACGGCGGGUGGAAAAGGUCAAGACGACCAUGUUUCAGAUUGUGUCGUCAGGUUUUGACAUUUUGUGUUGAUGUGAUUUGUCACACAUAAGGGAGGCAGGGAGCUGAGUUAUCGAAGCCUUGUUUGUCAUCAAGGUGAAAUUAAAGCAGCAAAUACACACAAGCACACAUUCAUCCUGGCAUAUACACAGAUACAUCAUUUGCUGUACUUGUGAGGACCUUAAAUAAAAAAUUAUUACAUGA